rnacentral:rRNA from 1 species
AACGAACGCUGGCGGCGUGGAUAAGACAUGCAAGUCGAACGCUUAUCUUUGUGUAGCAAUACAUGAAGGUAGGAGUGGCGCAAGGGUGCGUAACACGUGGGUAAUUUGCCGCGAAGUCCGGGAUAACUUGCUGAAAGGCGAGCUAAUACCGGAUGUGGAAAUUGGAAGGCAUCUUUUGAUUUCUGAAGCUGGGGACCUGUAAGGGCCUGGCGCUUUGCGAUAAGCCCCGCGGCCUAUCAGCUAGUUGGUGAGGUAACGGCUCACCAAGGCUAAGACGGGUAGCUGGUCUGAGAGGACGACCAGCCACACUGGAACUGAGACACGGUCCAGACACCUACGGGUGGCAGCAGUCGAGAAUUUUUCUCAAUGGGCGCAAGCCUGAAGGAGCGACGCCGCGUGUGGGAUGAAGGGUUUCGAUCCGUAAACCACUGUCAUUUGCCGAACAAACCCUGGAGUUUAAAGAGAUGCCAGGCUGAUUGUAGCGAAA